CAAAAACCACUCGAGGAAAAGCAAAUGCAUCUCAAGAUCUUGUUAACUCACCGUUGCAACGGGUCACUAGGUCACUUGCACAUGCCACUCCAUCACCCUCGGCGAAGGCUGUUCCAAAUAAACCUUCUUCUCCAAAAGUGGUUCCAACCAAAAAGAAUAUGAAUAAUCGGCCAGGGGCACACGUAUCACCUCUUCUGGACCGAUUAUGCAAGAUUACUGCAGAGUGGGAAAAAGAGCGUGAUUCCAGGUCGCCAUCAGCUACAGCUCCAUUCACAGUCUGACGGAGUCUUCUUCAGGAAUCACAAGCGCCAGAGGAGGAAGAGAUGCACCCUUGUUCUCUUUUCUAUUUUGUAAAGUACUAUUAUUUAAAUUGCUAACUUAAGAUUGUCACAGUUGGAUGGGGAUGACUCAGAAGAUGAUGAAACGAUUGGUUCAACUGAAGAUCAGGUCCCGAAUAAUUGCAAUCUCGAUGACGAAGGUAGAGCACAUGAAGUAGAGGUUGAGGAACUCCGGGAGACAUUGGGCAAUGACAUUCGCGAAGAGGAUACAACAAUGCAAAAUGAUGGUCCUCUUUCGAACAAGAAAACUGGAAGAAGUGCCGAAAAGAUGCCCCGUGGUUAGGCUGGUGACAACUCCCUUCAGGUAGUUGUGUCCGAUGAUGGCAAGCGGAUAAUAGGUACUGAUGUUCAUGGAUAUAAGAGUGUCUCGGGGUGAUUGCGAGAAACGAACUACGUCUUCCUCUCCACUAUCCGACAUUUCAGCAGAUCCCAAAGACAACUAAAAAAGGGAUCUGGACUGAGAAAAACUGCGGUCUACCUGAUUCUGCUGAGAAAUUAAUGCUCUCUGACCUUAAAGACGUCUGGCGUCACUUAAAUAAAAUGUGAAGGCAUCACACUUCACACCAAUAGAGGAUGAUAAAGAGGACCUGAAGAUAGCUCCGAAAGAGCGUGUUGUUGCAGAACAAUGGCCAUUGCUAGUGCAGUAUUGGAAUGACAAAAAAUAAAGGAUAUUUCUAGCAGAAAUGCCACCAAUGUAGUGAAAAGAAGUUUUUCACAUAGAACGGGCAGAAAAUCAUUUGACAUCUUGGCUGAGGAAAUAAAGGCCAAAGGCAAAGAACCCGAUAGCCUAGAAAUAUGGAUGGCAUCCCGCACUAAGGGACAGCACGCGGAUAAUGAAGAGGCUGAUGAUAUUUUUGAAUAUCUCAAUUCUGAACUCAACAAAAUCCCAACGCAUCAGAGAACACCAGCUGUCCGUGAAUCUUUGUACCGACGAGCGCUUGCAGGGAAAAGAAAAUGGCAAACUGCGGUUGAUGUCGCAGCAACCUCCGUCCAAACCAAGACUCAAUCUGUCAGCCAUGUCGAUAGUGAAGCCAUGCAAUCACAAAUGGAGGAAUUUCGCAAUGGUAUUGCUGAGAUGAAGGCAGUCUUGUCUGAAGUUAAAGCUAUUAAAGACGAAGUGACUAUGUACAAGGCAAAAAUUUCUUUGUGGAUAAGUUCUUCCAUUGGACCAUCUCGAGAAGCCCCGGUAAGUAUGGUAAAUUCUAUAUGUAACGUGGGGGGAAAAUAUCGAUGCUACUAGUUGAUGUGAAUCCAAUGUCUAUUAUGAAAGAAACUACCCGGUUGGCUGGAAGGAGGGGCGAGACAGCGGGAACCAAUUCACUUGAUUUGAUGACGGUUUGUGUAAUUUAUAUGAUUGAUGCCUACAAUAAUGUCGUAUAUUCGUUUUACGGUAAAUUUUAAUUUGUUUCAUGCUCUUAACACAAAGGAAUGUUGAUAAUAGUAAGAAAUGUUCUGGCGUAAAUUGGGACACGUGUUUGUUUUCUCUCCCGAGGACUGGAGAAACGUGUGGUCGGCGAAGGAGUGAUGCUAAGCCUCCCUACCCUAGGUUUGUUUGCACUUGAUAAGUUAUGUUUUGAUUGUGUAGUUGUACAGCGUGAAAUGGACAUAAAAUGGAUCUUGUGUAAGAUUGUUAUAUCUAGCAUCUGAUUAUAUUAUUGUAGGACAUGUCUAUUUGGGUUUAAGGUAGUUGUAUGGUCGAACGUUAUUUGUAGGGCUUGAUUGGUGGUUAAUUUGUUGCUA